rnacentral:rRNA from 1 species
CAGAGACGGCCGGGCGGCGAGUGGGCGAUUACUGAAGCGAGAAGCCACGCAGGGCGUUUGUCCUGCGCGGCUGACCCUCCACCCGUGUGAACUGAUUUUGUUGCUUUGGCGGGCCGGGCUCGACCUACCGGCUCCGGCUGGGGAGUGCCCGCCAGAGAAGCCCCAACUCGUGCAGUUAGUGCAGUCUGAGAAAAAUUUAAUAAGUAAAACUUUCAACAACGGAUCUCUUGGCUCUGGCAUCGAUGAAGAACGCAGCGAAAUGCGAUAAGUAAUGUGAAUUGCAGAAUUUAGUGAAUCAUCGAAUCUUUGAACGCACAUUGCGCCCCCCGGUAUUCCGAGGGGCAUGCCUGUUCGAGCGUCAGAACAUCCUCUCAAGCCUGGCUUGGUCUUGGGGCGCGCCGGCUCGGCGUCCCCUAAACAUAGUGGCGGUACCGUUGUGCUCUCCGCGUAGUCACGUAUCUCGCGACAGAGUGGCGAUGGGACCUGCCAGAACACACAUUUUUUUGGAUGACCUCGGAUCAGGUAGGGAUACCCGCUGAACUUAAGCAUAUCAUAGGCCGGGAUGAAAAUUGGC